UCCUAGUUGACCUAGGCAGUCUCGUCUGAGAAAUACAACAGACGACGAGGGUUGCGCUCGUUGCGGGACUUAACCCAACAUCUCACGACACGAGCUGACGACGACCAUGCAGCACCUGUCACCGGUCCAGCAGACUGACUCCCUUGUUUCCAAGGGAUACGACCGGGAUGUCAAACCUGGGUAAGGUUCUUCGCUUAGCGUCGAAUUAAACCACACGCUCCACCGCUUGUGCGGGUCCCCGUCAAUUCCUUUGAGUUUUAAGCUUGCGCUCGUACUCCCCAGGCGGGGUGCUUAACGCGUUAGCUUCGAUACCCGACGGAUCUAUGCGUCGGAUACCUAGCACCCAUCGUUUACGGCGUGGACUAC
rnacentral:misc_RNA from 1 species